AUUGAACGCUGGCGGCAGGCCUAACACAUGCAAGUCGAGCGAGCGGCGGACGGGUGAGUAAUGUCUGGGAAACUGCCUGAUGGAGGGGGAUAACUACUGGAAACGGUAGCUAAUACCGCAUACCAUCAGAUGUGCCCAGAUGGGAUUAGCUAGUAGGUGGGGUAAUGGCUCACCUAGGCGACGAUCCCUAGCUGGUCUGAGAGGAUGACCAGCCACACUGGAACGGAGACACGGUCCAGACUCCUACGGGAGGCAGCAGUGGGGAAUAUUGCACAAUGGGCGCAAGCCGUAUGCAGCCAUGCCGCGUGGGUGAAGAAGGCCUUCGGGUUGUAAAGCACUUUCAGCGAGGAGGCGUUACUCGCAGAAGAAGCACCGGCUAACUCCGUGCCAGCCGCCGCGGUAAUAC
rnacentral:rRNA from 1 species